rnacentral:rRNA from 1 species
AGUGAACGCUGGCGGUAGGCCUAACACAUGCAAGUCGAACGGCAGCACAGUAAGAGCUUGCUCUUACGGGUGGCGAGUGGCGGACGGGUGAGGAAUACAUCGGAAUCUACUUUUUCGUGGGGGAUAACGUAGGGAAACUUACGCUAAUACCGCAUACGACCUACGGGUGAAAGCAGGGGAUCUUCGGACCUUGCGCGAUUGAAUGAGCCGAUGUCGGAUUAGCUAGUUGGCGGGGUAAAGGCCCACCAAGGCGACGAUCCGUAGCUGGUCUGAGAGGAUGAUCAGCCACACUGGAACUGAGACGCGGUCCAGACUCCUACGGGAGGCAGCAGUGGGGAAUAUUGGACAAUGGGCGAAAGCCUGAUCCAGCCAUACCGCGUGGGUGAAGAAGGCCUUCGGGUUGUAAAGCCCUUUUGUUGGGAAAGAAAAGCAGCAGGUUAAUACCCCGCUGUUCUGACGGUACCAAAAGAAUAAGCACCGGCUAACUUCGUG